UCAAGUGGUUCCGCGCCGACAAUGUAGCGGGGCUCAAGCACACCGCCGAAGCCGUGGCAUUCACACUUUUCCCGUCGGAUCCCUUGAGGGUCCGGCCAGGUGUGUGGAUGGGUAGGGGAGCGUCGUGUGGCGGUCGAAGCGGCGGAGUGAUCCAGCCGUGGACGCCACACGAGUGAGAAUGCAGGCAUGAGUAGCGAGAGGGGAGUGAGAACCUCCCCCGCCGGAAGACCAAGGGUUCCUGGGCCAGGCUAAUCCGCCCAGGGUGAGUCGGGACCUAAGGCGAGGCCGACAGGCGUAGUCGAUGGACAACGGGUUGAUAUUCCCGUACCCGCGAAGGAACGCCCAUGCUGAACCCAGCGAUGCUAACCCACCGACGCCGGUGCGCCCACUUGUGGGCAAUCCGGAUUAGCUGGGGACCCGGACUGGUAGUAGGCAAGCGAUGGGGUGACGCAGGAAGGUAGUCCUACCGGUGAGUGGUAGUACCGGUGCAAGGGUGUGGCCCGUGGGGUAGGUAAAUCCGUCCCACACACAGGGUGAGGCCUGACGCAUAGCCGAAUGAGGCGAAUUGGAUGAUCCUAUGCUGCCGAGAAAAGCCUCUAGCGAGUUCCGAGCGGCCCGUACCCCAAACCAACUCAGGUGGUCAGGUAGAGAAUACCGAGGCGAUCGAGCGAACUGUGGUUAAGGAACUCGGCAAAAUGCCCCCGUAACUUCGGGAGAAGGGGGGCCAUCUGCUGUGAACCGCCUUGCGCGGGGCAGCGGUGGGUGGCCGCAGAGACCAGUGAGAAGCGACUGUUUACUAAAAACACAGGUCCGUGCGAAGUCGUAAGACGAUGUAUACGGACUGACGCCUGCCCGGUGCUGGAACGUUAAGGGGACGGGUUAGCCGCAAGGCGAAGCUCAGAACUCAAGCGCCAGUAAACGGCGGUGGUAACUAUAACCAUCCUAAGGUAGCGAAAUUCCUUGUCGGGUAAGUUCCGACCUGCACGAAUGGCGUAACGACUUCUCAGCUGUCUCAACCACAGGCUCGGCGAAAUUGCACUACGAGUAAAGAUGCUCGUUACGCGCGGCAGGACGGAAAGACCCCGGGACCUUUACUAUAGCUUGAUAUUGGUGUUCGGUUCGGCUUGUGUAGGAUAGGUGGGAGACUGCGAAGCGGGCACGCCAGUGUUCGUGGAGUCGCCGUUGAAAUACCACUCUGGUCGAAUUGGAUGUCUAACCUCGGUCCGUGAUCCGGAUCAGGGACAGUGUCAGGUGGGUAGUUUAACUGGGGCGGUUGCCUCCCAAAAUGUAACGGAGGCGCCCAAAGGUUCCCUCAGCCUGGUUGGCAAUCAGGUGUCGAGUGCAAGUGCACAAGGGAGCUUGACUGUGAGACCGACGGGUCGAGCAGGAGCGAAAGCUGGGACUAGUGACCCGGCACUGGCAUGUGGAAGCGGUGUCGCUCAACGGAUAAAAGGUACCCCGGGGAUAACAGGCUGAUCUUCCCCAAGAGUCCAUAUCGACGGGAUGGUUUGGCACCUCGAUGUCGGCUCGUCGCAUCCUGGGGCUGGAGUAGGUCCCAAGGGUUGGGCUGUUCGCCCAUUAAAGCGGUACGCGAGCUGGGUUUAGAACGUCGUGAGACAGUUCGGUCCCUAUCCGCCGUGCGCGUAAGAGACUUGAGAAGAGCUGUCCCUAGUACGAGAGGACCGGGACGGACGAACCUCUGGUGUGCCAGUUGUACCGCCAGGUGCACUGCUGGUUAGCUACGUUCGGCAGGGAUAACCGCUGAAAGCAUCUAAGCGGGAAGCUCGCUUCAAGAUGAGGUCUCUCACCGGGUUAACCGGGUAAGGCCCCCGCCCAGACCAGCGGGUUGAUAGGCCGGAAGUGGAAGCACCGCAAGGUGUGGAGCUGACCGGUACUAACAGGCCGAGGGCUUGACCACACACA
rnacentral:rRNA from 1 species